rnacentral:rRNA from 1 species
UACGUAGGGGGCAAGCGUUGUCCGGAAUCAUUGGGCGUAAAGCGUGCGUAGACGGUUAUGUAAGUCGGGUGUGAAAGCCCCGGGCUCAACCUGGGAAUGCCAUUCGAGACUGCAUAGCUAGGGUGCGGAAGAGGGUAGUGGAAUUCCCGGUGUAGCGGUGAAAUGCGUAGAUAUCGGGAGGAACAUCAGUGGCGAAGGCGGCUACCUGGCCCAAUACUGACACUCAGGUGCGACAGCGUGGGGAGCAAACAGG